rnacentral:rRNA from 1 species
AUCUUCCGCAUUGGACGAAGUCUGAUCCGAGCACGCCGCGUGAGUGAAGAAGGUUUUCGGAUCGUAAAACUCUGUUGGUAAAGAAGAACGUUGGUGAGAG